GCAGGGUGACAGCCAGACAUGAGUGUCCUGUCCUCCAUGGAGGGAACUGGAGAAGAUUGAUGUUUACAGCUGAUGUGGUCACAAAUCAGCUGCAGUGGAUGUAGGGAUCCGGAGAUACCGCUUGACUUUGUACAAGGCUGGGUCCGUAUCGGCACACUGCCUCCCUUUCCGUGGUGAGACUGCACUGGGUGACAUUCUGUAGUGGUGUGUAUACUCAUAAUAGUCUAGAUGCUAAGUGUGUAGUGAAUAGUUUAGAUGUUGAGUGUAUAGUGCAUGUACUUCUU